rnacentral:piRNA from 1 species
UGGGCCAAUGAUUUCGGAGUACCCUGG